GCUGGCGACUAGCGCGCAGGGGUCACACCCGUUCCCAUCCCGAACACGGCAGUUAAGCCCUGCAGCGUCGAUGGUACUGCCGACGGACGUCGGUGGGAGAGUAGACCGCCGCCAGCC
rfam:Gemmatimonadetes bacterium GWC2_71_9 gwc2_scaffold_19399, whole genome shotgun sequence.